GAUGAACGCUGGCGGCGUGCCUAAUACAUGCAAGUCGAGCGAACGGACGAGAAGCUUGCUUCUCUGAUGUUAGCGGCGGACGGGUGAGUAACACGUGGAUAACCUACCUAUAAGACUGGGAUAACUUCGGGAAACCGGAGCUAAUACCGGAUAAUAUUUUGAACCGCAUGGUUCAAAAGUGAAAGACGGUCUUGCUGUCACUUCUAGAUGGAUCCGCGCUGCAUUAGCUAGUUGGUAAGGUAACGGCUUACCAAGGCAACGAUGCAUAGCCGACCUGAGAGGGUGAUCGGCCACACGGGAACUGAGACACGGUCCAGAGUCCUACGGGAGGCAGCAGUAUGGAAUCUUCCGCAAUGGGCGAAAGCCUGACGGAGCAACGCCGCGUGAGUGAUGAAGGUCUUCGGAUCGGAAAACUCUGUUAUGAGGGAAGAACAUAUGUGUAAGUAACUGUGCACAGCGUGACGGUACCGAAUCAGAAAGCCACGGCUAACUACGUG
rnacentral:rRNA from 1 species